CUAUUUCUUAUUGGCCAUUUUGAGGAAGUCCAACAUUACCAUACAUGGUGAGACACACCAAGCUGCUCAGACAUUAUUAAAGGAGUCAGUGAUGAAACUCUGAAGCAUUUUAAUUGGUGUUUUCAUGGCGUUGAAGAAGAGGGCUGGUCGAGUGUCAGAAUAAAAACCAUCUGCUUCCUCUUCCUCAUCACUCCUGCUUCACUGCAGACUCACACAGCAUCUCUGAACAUCCUGACCUGAGCAACAGAGAAAAUGGUUUUCACUAUGCCUUUGAGGGUCCUUCUUCUCGGGAUUGUUUUGCUUUCCUGUAUUCAAAGUGUGGUGAAUGAAGAUGUGGACAUUAACACCCUUGCCAGGAUUCAAAAAUUUUUUCAUGACAAUUAUUAUAACGGUGGCCAGUAUGCAGUAGGCAUCAAUGUCCCACAGCAGCAGUGCCGAAGUGGAUUCUACCCCACAAGACGCAACUUUCUGACACAUGACCCAUCAGGAAACAGUUAGACCUCUCAUACAACGUGACAGCAUGUAUGUCUACAGAGGCACUGAACUCAUCGCUGCAGGGGUUCAUAGAGAUGCACAUUCAGAGCAUUUACUGAUGAAUCCUCCAAAUACUUCUCCUUUGACAAACUUGAUGAAUACAAACAGAGAUGGAUGUGUGGUUUUCUACACCGCAAAUAGUCCCUGUAUAAACCGUUGUCUCAAUAACAAUUACAGAAACAAUAUUAUACUAGGUCUUAAUAAUUUAAAUGCAUACCAGGGAAUUAAAGCCUUUGUUUUCUCAAAUAUCUUCACAAAUGACCAAAAUAGCCCAAAUCUUAGAACUGAACUACAGAAGAUUGCUGAUCGUGUGCCGCUUUACCGCUGUAACUAUGGUAGUUGUAUCCUUUGUGGACAACCAGGUUCAAACAUACCAGUGAUAAAUCAAUGUUUAAUAACAUAGGUCUCACUUGCUCACUAAUGUUGAGUUUCUUGUUUGACAGCGAUGCUUUAAAUGAACCGAUGAGCUAGUUAUCUGCUGAGACUUUUGAAGAUACACUUCAGUGCUUAAAUAGCCUUUCACAUGCAGCUUUUUGCUUUUUCUUUCAAAAAGCACAAUACUUAGAAAUUCGUAAACUAUUGCAGGGGAGAGUAAAUAUUCACCUUUCAUGAUUAUAAUCAAAUUCAGCAACAAUUGGAAAUUUGAAGGUCUUGAUAAAGGACACGUACCAGUAGAUUAAAGCUUUUGUAUUCAGAAACAUUUGGCAUUUUGAACGUAUAGGUUUAAUGCUGUGAGCCACAAUGUUUUUUGACAUGUUGUGAUUAAAAUGCUUAAAUGACAAAAUUUGUAAUGAUUUCAUAAACAUUGCUUGCUUGGGGAAAAUAAAUACAUUUCUAUGCACCA